CUAUGAUGAGCUCAGCAGUUCCACCAGCUGUUUGCUAAUUUCUGCUGGCUAGUCUGAAGGAGCUGAGUGGGGGAGGAGCUACACCUCAGAGGCGGAGCUAAGUCCAUCCAGGUGUUUUUCACACCUGAAUGCCAAAAGACUUUGU